GACGAACGCUGGCGGCGUGCUUAACACAUGCAAGUCGAACGGAAAGGCCCUGCUUUUGUGGGGUGCUCGAGUGGCGAACGGGUGAGUAACACGUGAGUAACCUGCCCUUGACUUUGGGAUAACUUCAGGAAACUGGGGCUAAUACCGGAUAGGAGCUCCUGCUGCAUGGUGGGGGUUGGAAAGUUUCGGCGGUUGGGGAUGGACUCGCGGCUUAUCAGCUUGUUGGUGGGGUAGUGGCUUACCAAGGCUUUGACGGGUAGCCGGCCUGAGAGGGUGACCGGCCACAUUGGGACUGAGAUACGGCCCAGACUUCUACGGGAGGCAGCAGUGGGGAAUAUUGCACCAUGGGCGGAAGGCUGAUGCAGCAACGCCGCGGGCGGGAUGACGGCCUUCGGGAUGUAAACCGCUUUCGCCUGUGACGAAGCGUGAGUGACGGUAAUGGGUAAAGAGGCACCGGCUAACUACGUG
rnacentral:rRNA from 1 species